AGUAAGCGCGAGUCAUCAGCUCGCGUUGACUACGUCCCUGCCUUUGUACACACCGCCGUCGCUCCUACCGAUUGAAUGAUCCGGUGAAGUGUUCGGAUCGGGGCGACGUGGGCGGUUCGCUGCCCGCGACGUCGGCGAGAAGGUCCACUGGAACCUUAUCAUUUAGAGGAAGGAGAAGUCGUAACAAGGUUUCCGGUAGGUGAACCUGCGGAAGGAUCAUUG
rnacentral:ncRNA from 1 species